CUACGGGUGGCUGCAGUGGGGAAUAUUGGACAAUGGGGGAAACCCUGAUCCAGCAAUGCCGCGUGUGUGAAGAAGGCCUGCGGGUUGUAAAGCACUUUCGGUUGGGAGGACUGCUUCUAGCACUAAUAUUGUUGGAAGUUGACGUUACCUUCAGAAGAAGCACCUGCUAACUCCGUGCCAGCAGCCGUGGUAAUACGGGGGGUGCAAGCGUUAAUCGGAAUUACUGGGCGUAAAGCGCGCGUAGGCGGCUAGAUCAGUCGGGUGUGAAAGCCCCGGGCUUAACCUGGGAACUGCAUCCGAUACUGUCUAGCUAGAGUACAGGAGAGGAGAGUGGAAUUCCACAUGUAGCGGUGAAAUGCGUAGAUAUGUGGAGGAACACCAAUGGCGAAGGCAGCUCUCUGGCCUGAUACUGACGCUGAGGUGCGAAAGCGUGGGGAGCAAACAGGAUUAGAUACCCCAGUAGUC
rnacentral:rRNA from 1 species